UACGGGGGGAGCAAGCGUUGUUCGGAUUUACUGGGCGUAAAGGGCGCGUAGGCGGCGUGACAAGUCACUUGUGAAAUCUCCGGGCUUAACCCGGAGCGGCCAAGUGAUACUGUCGUGCUAGAGUGCGGAAGGGGCUACUGGAAUUCUCGGUGUAGCGGUGAAAUGCGUAGAUAUCGAGAGGAGCACCUGCGGCGAAGGCGGGUAGCUGGGCCGACACUGACGCUGAUGCGCGAAAGCCAGGGGAGCGAACGGG
rnacentral:rRNA from 1 species